rnacentral:lncRNA from 1 species
AGAAAAUACAAGGGUAAGAAGAGGAAUCAUGUGGAAGAAGAGUAAACAUCUGAUGGUGUCCUGGGUAGCUGAAACUGUGGAAAGCAAAACCGUGGAUAAGGGGGAACUACUAUACUGAAAAUGUACAAAACAGAGAAGAUUUCAUUGAAGAAGUCUGCUGUUUCUGGAAUGGGAAAUUAAGGGAGAGGUUCGUGAAGAAGUGAUUGGGAAAGAGAGCAAGUCUUGGUUGGACAGUGUGAUUCAAUAGAAAUGUGAGGAGGAAAACUGCAAUUAUUUCUGAACCUUCCCAUCAGCCUUGUCUCUGAUAGAAUUGGCCUGUUGUGGACGGGCUUUGUGUAGAUUAGAGAAAGAAGAAGAUGCUCUUUUGGUGUAAUUGUUCAGUUCCACAUGGCCGGGGAGGCCUCACGAUCAUGGCAGAAGGCAAGGAGGAGCAAGUCACAUCUUAUGUGGAUGGCAGCAGGCAAAGAGAGAGCGAGCUUGUGCAAGGAGACUCCCAUUUUUAAAACCAUCAGAUCUCGUGAGACUUAUUCACUAUCAGGAGAACAGCAAGCUAAAUCAGUGUGAGACCAAGGACCCUGGGGCUCCUCCAGUCAUUGCAGCUGUAUCACAACUACCCUGACAGAUUUCUUGCUCAGGGCAAGCCACCUGCCAUGUCUUGAGAACACUCAAGCAGCACAUGGCGAGGAAUGGAGAUGGACAGACAUGGGCCAGCAAGAAACAGGCUUGCCAACAACAGCUUGCGUGAUCCUGAAAGUGGGUCCUCUAGCCCCAUGUGACUGUUGCCCUGGCCAACAACUUAACUGCAACCUCAAGAGAUACCUACCCUGAGUCAGAACCACCCAGUCAAACUACCCCUGGCAUCUUAACUCAGAGUAACUGCCCCGUUGACUGGAGGAUGGCCAUUUGACAACACAUUAUUUCCUGAGGAAACUUUUGACUUCUGGUGACUUGGGCCCCAGGCUGGCUGAAUUUGCCAAGACCCGGCUUUGCCCUUGCAUGUGUGAAAAAUGGCCUCAAGUAUGACCCCAUGGCAAGAUGGAAAGAAACUGUGCUCUUGAAUAGCUUAGAGAUUCAGAGCCCCCCAACCAGCUUGAAACGCCCACCUCAAAACAAUGACAUGAGAAGAAACAAACCUCUAAUUUAAGCCACUGUCUUUUUAAGAGCAUUGUAGUUUGAGAUCUCUUUCUUUCAGCUGUUUAGUCCCCAGCUAAACACUUACUGACCUUAUCUUACAGGUCAAGAAAAAUGAAGUUCUGGGGUACAAGUCACUAAUGUAUUAGAAAUUUUCCAGCUCUCCCUCCUUGCCCAGCAGAGUAUAUUUCCACUCAAACACAAUGAACCCAUUUGGAAUGGGACAAAACAAAAUGGGGUGGGCCUGGAACAAGAGAAAGUUCAGCUACACAGGAUCCAGGUCAAAACUCUUUAAUCCUCCCAUUUCUGGAUUUCAAAUGAACACCUUUUUGUCUAGCAGUUCUCCUCCAGAGGUUUGCUUUCCCACAACAGCUUGUCAACAGUGUAAGAAGUUCAAAAAGAACUUUUGGGGUUGCACGUUGCAGGUUGUGUGGCAUCAUCCCAGCUUGUCUCAACACCUCUGAUGAACAGUAGCGGAAGAAAGGACUCUUUCCACAUGAGUUCCUCGGCGGUCCCCGUCUCUUAGGGAGUUUAUAAAAAAAUCCAUCAUCUUGUUCUACUAAACCCAAGUAAAUAUAAUUAACACCAAA